ACGAACGCUGGCGGCAGGCCUAACACAUGCAAGUCGAGCGAGAUCUUCGGGUCUAGCGGCGGACGGGUGAGUAACGCGUGGGAAUAUGCCCUUCUCUGCGGAAUAGCCUCGGGAAACUGAGCGUAAUACCGCAUACGCCCUUUGGGGGAAAGAUUUAUCGGAGAAGGAUUAGCCCGCGUUGGAUUAGGUAGUUGGUGGGGUAACGGCCUACCGAGCCGACGAUCCAUAGCUGGUUUGAGAGGAUGAUCAGCCACACUGGGACUGAGACACGGCCCAGACUCCUACGGGAGGCAGCAGUGGGGAAUCUUAGACAAUGGGGGCAACCCUGAUCUAGCCAUGCCGCGUGAGUGAUGAAGGCCUUAGGGUUGUAAAGCUCUUUCAGCUGGGAAGAUAAUGACGGUACCAGCAGAAGAAGCCCCGGCUAACUCCGUG
rnacentral:rRNA from 1 species